GUGCCAGCAGCCGCGGUAAUUCCAGCUUCAGCAGCAUCUAUUAAAGUUGCUGCGGUUAAAAGGCUCGCAGUUGAAUGUCAGUGCCGGGCGCAGGUUAGGUGGACGCUGGGGUGUGAGAACCAACACGGCACGGACUUCGUCUGGUUGCUUGUCAGCUUGCUGGCCUUCCGGGCGUCGCACCGACCGUGUCUCACAAACUCCCGUCCGUGACAAGCCUCCUCGCCCGCGUACAUAUCGGAAUUGGUUUCGGAGGCGUGCGACCGGCGGCUUCGCUCGCGUCUGUGCUGGCUCACGCUGGCCUGACCUGGGAGUUGCUUAGCCACGUGCGUUCUCUUUGUGGUUUCAGAGUCACCUUGAGUAAAUCAGAGU
rnacentral:rRNA from 1 species